AAACCAACAGGGAUUGCCCUAGUAACGGCGAGUGAAGCGGCAACAGCUCAAAUUUGAAAUCUGGCCCUCGGGUCCGAGUUGUAAUUUGUAGAGGAUGUUUUUGGCGCGGUGCCUUCCGAGUUCCCUGGAACGGGACGCCUUAGAGGGUGAGAGCCCCGUACGGUUGGACACCAAGCCUCUGUAAAACUCCUUCGACGAGUCGAGUAGUUUGGGAAUGCUGCUCUAAAUGGGAGGUAAAUUUCUUCUAAAGCUAAAUAUUGGCCAGAGACCGAUAGCGCACAAGUAGAGUGAUCGAAAGAUGAAAAGCACUUUGAAAAGAGGGUUAAAUAGCACGUGAAAUUGUUGAAAGGGAAGCGUUUGCGACCAGACCUUUUCCUUGGGGAUCAUCCGGUGUUCUCACCGGUGCACUUCCCUUGGUUUAGGCCAGCAUCGGUUUCUGUAGGGGGAUAAAAACUUGAGGAAUGUAGCUCUUUCGGGAGUGUUAUAGCCUCUUGUAUAAUACCCUUGCGGGGACCGAGGACCGCGCUUCGGCAAGGAUGCUGGCAUAAUGGUCGUCAACGAC
rnacentral:rRNA from 1 species